AGGGGGAAAACAGCAAUAAUUCAGAAUCAUUGUGAAUAAGCUGAACCAUUUCUUCUUCUACCCAAAACAGCACCGAAAGGAAAAGAAGCAGAAAACAAGGAAGUUUGCUGGAGAAGAGAUGCUAUUAACAGCAGCUGGACCAGGGACGAGAAAGGUGCACUGGAAGUGAUCAGGAGUGUGUCAGAGAAGAGGACUAAUCAAUUGGAAUUAACGACUGGAGGAUGUAAAAGCUUCAGGGCCACAUGGGAGCCAUUUCAGAACAUGAAUGAAAUCAACAGCAGAAGAAAACUUCAGAUGUUGAUGAAUAUAAAAAUCUAGCUGGAGAAAUGUGGACUGGAUCAUCUCAAAGUCAUAAUACACACACUAGGGAGUUCUUGGAAAGGUGUGUUGUAAGUCCAGUGAUAUGUGGAUCUGGUGUUUUCUCUGGUAUGCUCUCAAA